AAAACCUUUAAAUUGAACCCUAGUAGUUUUAAAAGGAAUUUCACAGGGUCCUAGGAAAACAUGGAAGAGACAAACUAUGGAAAAUGAUUGGUGCCAAAAUCUUUUGAAGCCAUUGUGUGAAAGAAGUUGGGAAAGGAGAUGGGGAAAUGAAAUGAUGUCUAUGUUGUCCUACUUCACUUUUAAGAGCUAAUAACAGAAAUGCACUCUAUGGCAUUGAAGAAGGAGUUAAAGGAAAAGGAGGAGGAAGAGAAAGAAAAGAAAGGAAGGUAAGGGGAAAGAGAAAUGAGAAAUGAGAAGAAAAAAGAAAAUUUCAAUUUAGUGUAAUUUUAGAGAACAAGUGUAUUGUUGAUAAAGUAAAAGUAUUUUUCUUGUAAAGAUUAUUCAAGGUUUUUUUUAAAUUUAUUUUUUGGUUAUCAUACAAGAGAAACCAUGCAAUAUUUAAUUUUCUGUGUCUGAUGUAUUUCAUUUAGCAUUAUGAUCGCAUAUUGUCAUCAUACCAAAAUGAGUUUUCACAAAAUCAGCAUCCUCUCUCUAUUUCCUUUCUUCUAUCUCCAGUCUCCCUUCACUAUCCUGG
rnacentral:lncRNA from 1 species